AAGUCGUAACAAGGUCUCCGUAGGUGAACCUGCGGAGGGAUCAUUACUGAGUGAGGGCUCACGCCCGACCUCCAACCCUUUGUGAACCAAACUUGUUGCUUCGGGGGCGACCCUGCCGGCGAACUCGUCGCCGGGCGCCCCCGGAGGUCUUCUGAACACUGCAUCUUUGCGUCGGAGUUUAAAACAAAUUAAACAAAACUUUCAACAACGGAUCUCUUGGUUCUG
rnacentral:misc_RNA from 1 species